UCGCAAUAAAACUCUUCCAAUUUGGUGCAGCGAGUGUUGCCGCCUGAAAGCCGAGUUUGGUUUCAAGCCAACGUGGACAACUGCUGUAUGAGGCGCUGUUUCUCAGGAGGAUCAGUGGGAAGGCGUCAGGUCAUGCAGAUGAUAGCAUCAAUUUCACAAUGCCCAGCCUUGGUGCCCUCCAUUAAGAGCAAGCCACUUGCGUUCGCCUUCAGGCAGAUGGUUGAUGUCUUCUAGGAAGCAGUUGGGAAGACUACAUUGAUGCAAGAUUCCAGCAAUGCCAUGCGCUGCAUUUAUUGGUCAAGAUGCUCAGAGAAUGGAGUCCCUGCACCUCGUGGUGAAACGUGAACAUUUUCUUUCUUUUGGAAAGCUAAACGUCAUUUGCUGUAUCAAUUGC
rnacentral:lncRNA from 1 species